UACGAAGGUGGCAAGCGUUACUCGGAAUUACUAGGCGUAAAGGGCAGGUAGGUGGUUUGAUAAGUCCGUUGUGAAAGCUCUUGGCUUAACUGAGAGAGGCCAACGGAAACUAUCAGGCUUGAGUAUGGGAGAGGGUACUGGAAUUCCCGGUGUAGCGGUGAAAUGCGCAGAGAUCGAGAGGAACACCAAUGGCGAAAGCAGGUGCCUGGACCAUUACUGACACUAAGCUGCGAAAGCUAGGGGAGCAAACAGG
rnacentral:rRNA from 1 species